rnacentral:tRNA from 1 species
GCGGCUUUCGUUUAGUGGUUAGGACUCCGGGUUUUCAUCCCGGCAACAGGGGUUCGAUUCCCCUAAGCCGUACCA